AUUAGUAACAAUAAGAAGACAAGAAUACUUAAUAAAAAAAAGUAAAAGUCUCCGCCUAAAGCUUAUGGUCCGUAAAAAGUAACGGCCUCUAAAUUGAAAAUCUAAUGGUUUUAAUGAUGAGUAAAUCUUUUUUUACUAAAGGACGACGUUUUAAAGUGAAAAACGUACUGGAAAAAUAGUAAUAUAUCUAAAAAGAUGAAAAACAACCGUACCUGGAUUAACCGCAACAGGUAAGCUAGUAGAGAAUACGAAGGCGUAAAUGGGAUAACAAUCUUAAAGGAACUCGGCAAAUUUACUACGUAACUUCGGAAUAAGGAGGUCUCAUUAGUCUUGAUUAAUAUCAGGUAAAAAGGAAGAAGCAUGAAAUAAUGUUGUACGACUGUUUAAUUAAAACACAGCACUUUGCGUCAAAGAUUUAAAUCAAAGUAUAAAGUGUGAUGUCUGCCCGGUGCCGGCUGGUUAACAGAUAUAAUUAAAUUUUUUUAGGGAAUUUAGUGUAGACGGAACCCCCGGUUAAUGGCGGCCUUAACGUGAGGGUCCUAAGGUAGCGAAAUGCCUUGGCCGUUAAAUGCGGUCUUGCAUGAAUGAUGUAACGAUACAACAGCUGUCUCUAAGAUUGACCCAGUGAACUU
rfam:Ceratocystis platani strain CFO contig_00003 mitochondrial, whole genome shotgun sequence.